GAAGAAGGAGGGAGGCGUGCUUAACACAUGCAAGUCGAACGGAAAGGCCCUGCUUUUGUGGGGUGCUCGAGUGGCGAACGGGUGAGUAACACGUGAGUAACCUGCCCUUGACUUUGGGAUAACUUCAGGAAACUGGGGCUAAUACCGGAUAGGAGCUCCUGCUGCAUGGUGGGGGUUGGAAAGUUUCGGCGGUUGGGGAUGGACUCGCGGCUUAUCAGCUUGUUGGUGGGGUAGUGGCUUACCAAGGCUUUGACGGGUAGCCGGCCUGAGAGGGUGACCGGCCACAUUGGGACUGAGAUACGGCCCAGACUCCUACGGGAGGCAGCAGUGGGGAAUAUUGCACAAUGGGUGGAAGCCUGAUGCAGCAACGCCGCGUGCGGGAUGACGGCCUUCGGGUUGUAAACCGCUUUCGCCUGUGACGAAGCGUGAGUGACGGUAAUGGGUAAAGAAGCACCGGCUAACUACGUG
rnacentral:rRNA from 1 species